GACGAACGCUGGCGGCGUGCUUAACACAUGCAAGUCGAACGGAAAGGCCCUGCUUUUGUGGGGUGCUCGAGUGGCGAACGGGUGAGUAACACGUGAGUAACCUGCCCUUGACGUUGGGAUAACUUCAGGAAACUGGGGCUAAUACCGGAUAGGAGCUCCUGCUGCAUGGUGGGGGUUGGAAAGUUUCGGCGGUUGGGGAUGGACUCGGGGCUUAUCAGCUUGUUGGUGGGGUAGUGGCUUACCAAGGCUUUGACGGGUAGCCGGCCUGGGAGGGUGACCGGCCACAUUGCGCCUGCGAUACGGCCCAGAGUCCUACGGUAGGCAGCAGUGGGGAAUAUUGCCCAAUGGUCGGAAGCCUGAUGCAGCAGCGUCGCGUGCGGGAUGACGGCCUUCUGGUUGUAAACCGCUUUCGCCUGUGACGAAGCGUGAGUGACGGUAAUGGGUAAAGAAGCACCGGCUAACUACGUG
rnacentral:rRNA from 1 species